rnacentral:tRNA from 1 species
UGGGGGUUGGCCAAGUGGUAAGGCACCAGGUUUUGGUCCUGGCAUUCGGGGGUUCGAAUCCCUCACCCCCAGCCA